UGGGCUCAUUGUGUAUCUCAGGAGGCCC
rnacentral:piRNA from 1 species